AAAAAGACAAACCCUGGGUUUGCGUGUCUAACUUUAACUGUCCGUCUUAUAUGAAAUUUUUUUAUAAUUCGUAUUUUUAUUGUUGUUAGAUGAUAAAACAUGUCUUUUUAAUUUUUUUCAUUAUUUUUUUAAAUAAAACGGACAGUCAAACAUUGGGCACGGAAACCAGGGUUCGUCUUUUU
rfam:Oryza sativa Japonica Group DNA, chromosome 1, cultivar: Nipponbare, complete sequence.